rnacentral:lncRNA from 1 species
CGACUGCUGUUCCGCAGCGUCACGUUACAAUUGCAUUCGAUUGCUCACGGGCGCAUACAAUUAUAUUCCAUUAUGUGGAACACUCUGCGCGAAGGACGUUUUCCCUCCCCUCGGUUGUCGGUUGUCGGUUGGAGCCCGCGCGCUAUUCCCAAGUCGUCGGAUGUAUCGAUACGAUUGAUCUACCUACUGCCGAUUGAUACUUGAAAGGGUUGUCGAUUUGCAGCUUAUACGGUUUACUGUGAGUAUUCGAUCGCCCUAAACUUUCCAGUAGCAUCGAGGAUACGUUGCAACAUGGAAAAGGCUUCGUACGGCUAACCAGUUUCGAGUGUUUAUUCGAAAUCGCCCGAUCCGAAACGGUGCGAGACUUCGGAAUUGAAGACAGCGAACGCGAAACGAUAGACCCGCAUUACUCGGAGGAACGAAUCUCGAAUAUUCGCGAAACGGAUCGCGGAAUCAUCGUGACGGAUCCAAGGGAUUUCGAGGUCGAUGAAUCCGCGAAUGGAUUUCACCUGAAAAACGAAGAAAAAAUACAACUGCGACGAUUGACAGGUCCGAUUGCGGCUAUCGCCAAAAAUUUUAUUGCACAAAGGCAGACGAUAAAACGAUACUCUUGACAUUAUUCGAAAAGUCAGAGGUACGCACGUACAUACGUAUAAGUAUAUCAUGUAUGCGUUGGACAAUGGAAAUUUGUUCGGCAGUGAAAUCCCGACGAUCUGUAAAAAUGCUACACCCAAUGCGAAACUGUGUCGUAACGCUACAUCGACACGGUACAAGAUACAGGUGUGCGUGGGUCGGGACUUUUUCACAAGGGCCGCUUUCGUCGCGAACUAAAUGAGGGAACUGAUCCGAAAUUCGAACAGCUCACAGGUGCCGAAGAUCUUAAUGAGAAAAUAGAAGAGAGACGAGAAAACAGCUGUUUUCACCCACGCCUUUCACCCCACGUCGUGAUCGCGGUUGGCGAGGGGUAUAGAAAGGGGGAACGAGGGGGCGGCGUAGUAGUACGCGAGUACUACCAAACACCCACGCCUACACGCCUACGAGCUUCAUUUCCCGACGACUCGACAUACCUGUCUAUUUACGUACACGUUACAAUGUGUAUACUUACGUGUACACGACAUGGCGCAUAUGCAUUUAUACAUAAGUUGUACAUACACGAUGCAGCAUGCACGAGCGGGAAAAGGAAACGAGAAUUGAGGAGGCACGGCAAGGAAAGCAAGGGAAACGAAGAGGAUGGUCGGGGGCGCGGAUACGGUAUCAACGCGUUAUACCUAGACGUCGGUAGUCCACCGUACCCGACGGGGGACGGUGUGUCGACAGGGGGAGGGAAGAUGGGGAGAUGACCUAGAGAUGUCACUGGGUUAGCGUGCCCACGGGCCAUCCAUAACUCCGCGAUGUACGUCACCCACCACCCGCGACCCUACCCCCCGACACUGCUAUCCCUGUAGUAUCUACAGGGUGUUUCAGACCAAACUCGAUCUGCCCCGGUGCAUUGAAAAUGACGACGGUAACAUGGAAGGAUGGAGAGAAGAUGUCGGAGUUGCUUUCGGUUUCUCCGUGUAUUAACGACGACGACGACGACGACGACGACGACGACGACGACGACGACGACGACGACGACGACGACGACGACGCCGCCGAUCACUGAUCACUGAUCACCGAUGCUGAUGCUGCCACGAUUUCGCACACCGGAGCGACCUUCCCAACUUCAACUUCAACCCCAUUUCCAGAGCCACAUAUGUACGUACUACGGCACACGGCUAUGUAUCGCAGUGGAACGGGAAGAUUGUAAUCGCCAUCGCCAUUUAUAGGUUGGUCGGUGGGUAAAUAGGUGAACGGGUAACUGGGUAAAUGGGUAAAGGUAUUACAUGCAUGUGUAUACCGGUUAACUCUAAGAGGGUGAUUAUUGGCAGUGAGUGUAGGGGGAAAGGAUGGUAGCUGCUCUUGGGGAUGUCGGCGCGGGCGUCCGCGUAGAAAAUCUGCGGGAAAGCCGAGUGAAAUCUGUAAAGCCAGAAACGACCAGGUGCGGGAAGGGUGUUCGUCGCACCGCGCGUCCCGUUCCCAUUGCGUAAAGAGAGAGAGCGGGAGAGAGAGAGAGAGUUUUUCGGGUUCGGGAGCGGGAGCGACAUUUGGUGGAAGGGGCAGGAGCGAAGGGAAAACGAGGAGUUCGGGUCAAGCCGUGACGCGCCAGCGCCGUGACGGCGUUUGCCAUUUCCACAUAUUUUCCUUCCCAUUCCCGUAACUAUACCGCGGGCAAUGUGUGUUUCCUAGCCGAGAUCCGAACACCUUCGCGUUAUGUAACGACGUUUACAGUUAUUGUAGGUAUAGACCGGCUUUAUACAGGUACGUUCGUCUGGCUGGCCCCUACGAUUGAAAAAUAGGGAAAUUCGAAUUGCUGGCAAGAACGAGAAAAGAGAAGAAAAAAAAAAAAAAAAAAAACAGCAAAUUAUUGAUCGUUGCAUCGAUAAUUACAUUAUGUAGAUGUAUUAUAAAUAGAGGAGUUUAUCGAUUGAUUGGGAUGAGAAGGAGAACAGCAAAAAACGACGAUCAACUAGUUUUCGUUGUGCGCUAAAAAUCAUUUGUCGUAGAAUUGUCGCGAGAAAAUAGAUCACGGUGAGGUUCGGUGAAAAAAAGCUGUAGGAUUCCAAGAAUUGCCAAACCUAGUGAAUAUUAUUUUGAUGGGAAAAUUUUCACUAUAAUCGAAGGUUGAUUUCACGGGCAUAACUGGUCAAGGUGGUACAUCUUACGAUUAACUGAAUAUUCUGAAGAUAAUGAUAAAUCGGUAUAGAAUGAUGGACAAAGAAAUGUCGAAGUCGACGACGACGUGAGAUUGAAGAAAAAUGAUACUUUUCAUGCAAAUUUAUUUUACAUAGGAUUAUACACAACAGUGUUUAAUAAUCACCUGGCAACAGCUGAUCCCCUGGGCGAGAGCAGCGGCCGGGGAUGUGCGGUUUAUCGGUACAGGUAGCAGCAGCUGCAGCGGGAGUAGCAGAAAAACGAAAAAGAAGAAAAGAACAACGGUAGAAAGCAAACAACGAUUACAAAGUAGAAGGAUGAAUUCUCGUUGCUCUCAGCAGCAGCAGCAGCAGCAGCAGCAGCAGCAGCAGCAGCAGCAGCGGAAGCAGCAGGACAGGUGUACGGAAGGGAAUUAGCGGAUCAGAUAAGAAAAAUUAUUAACAAAAAAAAAGGAAAAUGUCUUUUGAAAUACAUGAGACGUACGGCCCGAGUAUCACGCGAUAAGGUUACACCGGUUGUUCGGGCCACACUGACUGCGGAGAGCAGCCAACCUCUGAACCUCCGCCCUCCAGGUUUUCCACCCCCGGACGUCUACCCCUGCAACCCCCGACCUUCGCCUCCUCUUCUCUCUUUUCUCUCAUUUCUAUCAUCCUCUCUUCCUCCCUCCUUCCCUCCCACCCGUCUCCCUCUCUCUCUCUCUCCUACUCGCGCCUUCUCUCUCAGACUUUUCUCAUCCCCCUAUCAACCCCCAAACAACAGCGCCCCUGACGGUACGCCUGCUCAAAUCUUCCGACCAACGAAACGCCAACGAAUUCCUCUUUUUCCCUCGAUAUGUAUUCAUGAGUAGAGUAUAUUAUAUCAUCGUACUUUCCAAGCCAACAAUUAGUUACUUCACCGCAAGCGAUAUAUACCAUGGCCCCUCUUGCCUGCGAGUUGGGGAUUUUUUUUUUACCAUUUCCAUAAUUUUUUCACUCGUUAUUCAAUUUUAUUUCAUUAUAUGAAUCUUCAUUGCCACAUUAUAGCUGCGCCGCGGGCGCGCGGUUUGUUGUGGGGCGUCACCUCUGUACAG